rnacentral:rRNA from 1 species
GAUGAACGCUGGCGGCGUGCUUAACACAUGCAAGUCGAACGAUGAAGCCCAGCUUGCUGGGUGGAUUAGUGGCGAACGGGUGGGUAACACGUGAGUAACCUGCCCUUAACUCUGGGAUAAGCCUGGGAAACUGGGUCUAAUACCGGAUAGGAGCGUCCACCGCAUGGUGGGUGUUGGAAAGAUUUAUCGGUUUUGGAUGGACUCGCGGCCUAUCAGCUUGUUGGUGAGGUAAUGGCUCACCAAGGCGACGACGGGUAGCCGGCCUGAGAGGGUGACCGGCCACACUGGGACUGAGACACGGCCCAGACUCCUACGGGAGGCAGCAGUGGGGAAUAUUGCACAAUGGGCGCAAGCCUGAUGCAGCGACGCUGCGUGAGGGAUGACGGCCUUCGGGUUGUAAACCUCUUUCAGUAGGGAAGAAGCGAAAGUGACGGUACCUGCAGAAGAAGCACCGGCUAACUACGUG